UACGGGGGGAGCAAGCGUUGUUCGGAUUUACUGGGCGUAAAGGGCGCGUAGGCGGCCUCCGCAAGUCAGUUGUGAAAUCUCCGAGCUUAACUCGGAAAGGUCAACUGAUACUGCGGGGCUAGAGUGCGGAAGGGGCAACUGGAAUUCUUGGUGUAGCGGUGAAAUGCGUAGAUAUCUGGAGGAACACCGGUGGCGAAGGCGGCAUCCUGGACCGAAAUUGACGCUGAGGCGCGAAAGCCAGGGGAGCAAACGGG
rnacentral:rRNA from 1 species